AGGAAUAUUGGUCAAUGGACGAGAGUCUGAACCAGCCAAGUAGCGUGAAGGAUGACUGCCCUAUGGGUUGUAAACUUCUUUUAUAUGGGAAUAAAGUGAGCCACGUGUGGCUUUUUGUAUGUACCAUACGAAUAAGGAUCGGCUAACUCCGUGCCAGCAGCCGCGGUAAUACGGAGGAUCCGAGCGUUAUCCGGAUUUAUUGGGUUUAAAGGGAGCGUAGGCGGAUUAUUAAGUCAGUUGUGAAAGUUUGCGGCUCAACCGUAAAAUUGCAGUUGAUACUGGUAGUCUUGAGUGCAGCAGAGGUAGGCGGAAUUCGUGGUGUAGCGGUGAAAUGCUUAGAUAUCACGAAGAACUCCGAUUGCGAAGGCAGCGCACUAAUCCGUAACUGACGUUCAUGCUCGAAAGUGUGGGUAUCAAACAGGAUUAGAUACCCUGGUAGUCCACACGGUAAACGAUGGAUACUCGCUGUUGGCGAUAUACUGUCAGCGGCUUAGCGAAAGCGUUAAGUAUCCCACCUGGGGAGUACGCCGGCAACGGUGAAACUCAAAGGAAUUGACGGGGGCCCGCACAAGCGGAGGAACAUGUGGUUUAAUUCGAUGAUACGCGAGGAACCUUACCCGGGCUUAAAUUGCAAAGGAAUAAUCUGGAAACAGAUUAGUCUUCGGACCUUUGUGAAGGUGCUGCAUGGUUGUCGUCAGCUCGUGCCGUGAGGUGUCGGCUUAAGUGCCAUAACGAGCGCAACCCUCGCCGCCAGUUACUAGCAGGUAAUGCUGAGGACUCUGGCGGGACUGCCAUCGUAAGAUGUGAGGAAGGUGGGGAUGACGUCAAAUCAGCACGGCCCUUACGUCCGGGGCUACACACGUGUUACAAUGGGCGGUACAGAAGGCAGCUACCUGGCGACAGGAUGCCAAUCCCUAAAGCCGCUCUCAGUUCGGACUGGAGUCUGCAACCCGACUCCACGAAGCUGGAUUCGCUAGUAAUCGCGCAUCAGCCACGGCGCGGUGAAUACGUUCCCG
rnacentral:rRNA from 1 species